rnacentral:rRNA from 1 species
AUGAACGCUGGCGGCGUGGAUAAGGCAUGGNGCNUNCGAUCGGUCUGCCUUCGGGCAGAUACGGAGCGGCGAACGAGCUAGUAACACGUAGGUAUUUACCCUAUACUCAGGGAUAACCAACCGAAAGGUUGGCUAAUACCUGAUGGUCUUUCCAGUUUUACUGGAAAGUAAAGGGCAACCGGUAUAGGAAAAGCCUGCGUCCUAUCAGCUUGUUGGUAGGGUAACGGCCUACCAAGGCUAUGACGGGUAGGGGGUGUGAGAGCGCGACCCCCAGCGAGGGCACUGAGACACGGGCCCUACUCCUACGGGAGGCAGCAGCCGAGAAUCUUGGUCAAUGGGCGCAAGCCUGAACCAGCGACGCCGCGUGCGGGAAGAAGGUCUUCGGAUUGUAAACCGCUUUUCUCCGGGAAGAACUUCGGUGACGGUACCGGAGGAAUAAGAGGGUGCUAAUUCUGUGCCAGCAGCAGCGGUAAUACAGAACCCUCAAGCGUUAUCCGGAAUUACUGGGCGUAAAGGGUGUGUAGGCGGCAAGAUAAGUCUGGCUUUAAAAUUCAGGGCUUAACCCUGAAAUCGGCUAGAAACUAUCUUGCUAGAGGACAUCAGGGGGUACCGGAACGCACGGUGUAGGGGUGAAAUCCGUUGAUAUCGUGCGGAACACCGAAAGCGAAGGCAGGUACCUGGGAUGUUCCUGACGCUGAAACACGAAAGCGUGGGGAGCAAAAAGGAUUAGAUACCCUUGUAGUCCACGCCCUAAACGAUGAGUGCUAGCUGCCGGGAGUGUCGACCCUUUCGGUGGCGAAGCCAACGCGUUAAGCACUCCGCCUGGGAAGUACAGCCGCAAGGCCGAAACUUAAAGGAAUAGAUGGGGGCUCACACAAGCGGUGGACCAUGAGGCUUAAUUCGUCAACAAGCGAGGAACCUUACCAGGGCUAGACAGCCGGCUGAAACUCCGAAGAAAUUCGGAGCCUCCGCAAGGACAGCCGGGUCAGGUGCUGCAUGGUUGUCGUCAGCAGGUGUCGUGAGACGCUCCCUUAAAUGGGGUAACCUGCGCAACCCUUAUCCUGUGUUUCAUGUGUCACAGGAAACUGCCGUGGUAUACACGGAGGAAGGUGGGGACGACGCCAAAUCAGCAUGGCCCUUGACGCCCUGGGCUGCACUCGUGGUACAAUGGCGAGUACAAAGGGUUGCGAAGCCGUAAGGCGGAGCUAAUCCCUUAAAACUCGCCCCAGUUCGGAUCGAGGUCUGCAACCCGACCUCGUGAAGCCGGAAUCGCUAGUAAUCGCAGAUCAGCCAUGCUGCGGUGAAUACGUUCCUGAGCCUUGUACUCACCGCCCGUCAAGCCAAGCGAGCUGGGAACGCCUGAAGAUUCAGCAUUAGCUGGAUUUAGGGCGGGCUCAGUGAGAGGGGCUAAGUCGUAACAAGGUAACC